rnacentral:misc_RNA from 1 species
UAUAAAAUAAAUAUGUAUUUGAUUUAAAUAGAAAUACAAGACAAUCUUUCUUGAGAACGUUAUAUAUUGCGAAUCCCGAGUAUUCAGCCAAAAAAACGGCGCUGAGACGCAGAAUAUAAAUCUAUGGAUGUGAGUGUGUGUGUGCAUACACGCGUGUAUGUGUGUACGUGUGUAACGAGAUCUGACUCGUCGCAAAUGGUUUCUUAGUCGCGAUAUAAGCGCGGGUUGCGGAGCGCGGGGCGCGAAUUAGCUGUGCGACGCAGCGCACCUGAUUGGUUCUUGCGGUACGCGGGUAUGUGAAUCGCGGUCGCGUUCGUGUUUACACGUCGUGAUAUAGUGUGAGUUUCUCUCGAUACAAUAAGGAAAACUGAGAAUGCGUUUGAGUACUCGGCCGAGAACACUUGGCAGAGGCAAAGAAAACUCUACCCCUUUUCUGCUGUCGAGGCCGGUAGUUUUGAAUAGCCGACGGUCCAAAAAGCUCGACAGAGACAGAGUUACUCUCUAUUCCUAGAAUCUUGUCGGUGUGCGGAGUAAGGCGGCAGGCUCGAGAACGCUCGACGUGGCAGAGUACACUCCGCCACGGAAAUUCCCGUCGGUGCACAGUUGCAUUGGGGGAGGCCGAGAACGCUUGGCGAGGCAGAGUACACUCUGCCUCAGAGACUCUCGUCGAUGCAGCGGUUUAGGAUAAGCCGGUCGGUGGCGAACACUCGAUAAUUGCAGAGCUUUCUACCACUCGCUACUAUCGACCGGAAGAUUCGGAACUGGAAAAGGAGCAGAUCGGGAUCGUUCCGGAAUCGUUCAGCGAUUCUCGCCGAGAACAAUACGAGCGAACAUCGUUCGGCGGAAUUCGGAUGUAUUCAUGAAACCUCGACUGCUGCGUCACCUAUGCUUACACUAUUUUAGCUUAAACAAAACUGGAGAUCCACGCAGUAGAAUGCGAACAAUUAAACGACUGUGCCAUCAGAUUACCGAGCGAAGUGGUUGAGCUUUGGCAACUACAUCAGAAAGGAACGUAUCCCGUUCAUAGUCUAUGUCGACCUAGAAUACACCCUGGAAAAGACGGAGAGAGAUACGAAACGUCCAGCUACACGUACCAGCAUUAACGGGGAUUUAGUUUAGCAUAUUAUGUCCACUGUUCGUACGACGAUUUGUUGUGUACAUUUAAGUUUUGUCAUGGAAACGAUUGCAUCGCAUGGUUCGCCGAGGAAUUUAAAAACUUAGCGUAUAAAAUAAAGACUAUGUUGUCCACUAACGUUCCCAUGGAUUUUACGCGAGAUGAUGUGAUAAAUUUCAAUCCUCAGCGCAGAGGAUCUUCUCACACGCAAAGACAUAUUUCUGUACGAGUACAUUGACUGCGUCAAAAGUUAGACGAAACCGAGUUAUCAUCGCGCGAAUUAUUUUAUAGCUCGCUGACAGGUAUACAUAUAUGGCUGACAUAUCAUAUCCGAGAGCGAUUACGCGCACGUCGUUAACGUGUGACAGCGGUUUUCCUGCUCGGAGAAUAUAGCGAUCUGUAUUUAAAGAUAAACGUUUGUUGUUAGCCGACAUUUUCAAAAAUUUCCGUAACAGUUGCGUCGCGAGUUAUGGGCUCAACCCCGCGUAUUAUUAUGCACUACCGGAUUUACAUGGGAUGCGAUGUUGAAACAUACGCGUGUAAAAUUCGAACUUCUUAGGAACAUCGAUAUGGUCAUGUUCAUCGAACGUGGAGGUCUGAACCUAACAGAUCAAGGCUCAGAACAAGUAGAGAGUCAGAAGUCGUCUAACAACAAGUACAUGCAGUCGUAUGAUCCACCAUCGAAACUCGACAUAUGUACUUUGAUUUAUGUACUUUAACGUUAACAACCUAUACGGUUGGACAAUGUGUCAACCAUUAUCAUACGCCGAUUUUCGAUGGGUCGACGAUGUAAACAAUUUUGAUGUUACGAUCAUCGCGACAGAUUCACCGAUAAGUUAGACUUGGUACCCCCGUUCUCGAGGUAGACUUGGAGUAUUCGCAAUAUCUUCAUAACGCUCACAUAGACCUACCAUUCUGUCCGAUGCACGAGAAAUCACCCGAUAAGCGAGAGAAGAAGCUCCUCGCUACGUUGUAGAGCGUGAUAGAGCGUUACGUAAUUCAUUAUCGUAAUCUACAACAAUAUACUCGUCACGAUUUCAAUAUCGUAAAAAUUUACCGCUUGUUGCAAUUCGCGCAAUCUCUAUGGCUUCGCGAAUACAUCGAAUUCAAUACGAAUUUUAGAACUCUUUCCAACAACGAGUUUGAAAAAAAUGUGUAUAAAUUAAUAAAUAAUGCUGUAUUUGUUAAAACCAUGGAGAAUAUGCACAACCACGUCGACGUGCGACUUGUAACGCAUUGGGACGGGAGAUACGGUGCGGAGGCAAUGACACAAAACCAAAUUUUCAUAGUAGAAGCGUUUUUUCUGAGACUCUAGUCGCGAUAGAAGUAAUUUGAGAUGAAAUUCGACAAAUCGUAUGUGUAUCUUCGAUAUAUCCAAGACAUGUUUGUAAGAAUUUCAUUACAAGUACAAAUCGCUGUUUCGCGAAAAUUGUAAAGUCAUGUACACUGAUACGGACAGUCUUAUUUACUACAGGGAGUAAAUAUAAAUAAUGCGACAACGUCUACUAUAUUUUGAAACGCGAUAUCGAUCGAUUCAACACUAGCAACAAUGCGUACGGUAUUCCGCUCGCUAAUAAAAAAGUUCCGAGCUUAAUGAAAGAUGAAAACAAUGGUACGAUAAUGACCGAAUUCAUCGGGCUUAGACCAAAAAUGUACGCCUUGCGCCUCGAUGGGAAAAAGGAAAAGGAUUUAAAAAUUAUGUUACAGCGAGAUCGAUAACAUUUGAUUACAUGCGAUGUCUAAAUAACGAAAUCGAAAUGAAGCACAGGCAAUCGUGCAUAAAAUCGAAAUUGCAUGACAUCGGAAACGAAAAUUGCUCUAAGUCCGUACAAUGACAAACGAUACAUUGUGCUAGAUUCUAUAGACACUCAUGGGGACAUUAUAAAAUAUUACUAUGAAAAUAAAUAAGAAAAACGAAUUUUCAU